AUCACUAAGCGGAGGAAAAGAAACUAACAAGGAUUCCCUCAGUAACGGCGAGUGAAGCGGGAAGAGCCCAGCGCCGAAUCGCCCGGCCUUCGGCCGGCGCGAACUGUGGCGUUCAGGACAGCCUCUGGGGCGGCGUGCGGGCGUCCAAGUCCUUCAGAAGGGGGCUUCGCCCAGGGCGGGUGACAGGCCUUUACAGGCGCCGGCCGCCGCCUCUCUGAGCGUCCUCGGAGUCGGGUUGUUUGUGAAUGCAGCCCAAAGCGGGUGGUAAACUCCAUCUAAGGCUAAAUACUGACACGAGGCCGAUAG
rnacentral:rRNA from 1 species